CAGAGAGUAGUUAAACUUAGAAUCCUAGCUUUGGGAGUUAGGGGUGGGAGUUAAAAUCUCCCCUCUUUGG
rnacentral:tRNA from 1 species